rnacentral:lncRNA from 1 species
UCAAAGUGUAAAGUGUAGUACACAGUCAAACCUGCUGCUUAGCUCAGGUGUGUAAAACAGUAUCUUGCCAACAUUCAGUUAGUAUGAAAACCUCAUCAGCAAGGUGUUGUGUGUGGUUCUGGUGUUGUCUUCUCAAGUUUGAUGUGUGUUUUGUGCUUAAAAUACUUUUAGCCUGGUGGUUGGUGGCACGUGCCUUUAACCCCAGCACUUGAGAGGCAGAGAGAAAUGAAUCUCUGAAAGUUCCAGGCCAUCCUGGUCUACAGAGCGAGUUCCAGGACACCCAGGACUACACAAAGAGAAGUCUGUUUCAAAAAAAAAAAAACAAAAGAAGAAAAUACAUUUUAGUUAGCUACUUUUCAAGACCUUAGACCCACAUGUAAUUGGCACUUACCAUGUUAAAUAGUAUAAUUUUAAAAAGCCUUGGAGAAUUGGCUAUAAAAUACUGGACAGCUAAUCAACAUUUGAUGAGGGCUAGGAGAUCAAGGGGCUUGUCUAUCUUAUUAGAGACCUGGGGUUUGACUUUCACACUACAAAAACACUCCCCAAAUAAAACUUGGUCAUCAGAUGUGACGUGCACAUACUGGGAAGCCGAUGUGCAGCAAAGGAGCACAGCUGCUUCUGAUUCCCCCUUUGAUGGGCACAGCUUUCCUCUCCUUGCUGUUUACCUGGCUGGGAUCUGGUUAGGGUUAUCAGUGAGAUAUGUCAAAUG